GACAGAGGGUGCAAACGUUGUUCGGAAUUACUGGGCGUAAAGCGCGUGUAGGCUGCUCUGCAAGUCGGAUGUGAAAGCCCUGGGCUCAACCUAGGAAGUGCACUCGAAACUGCAGAGCUUGAGUCCUGGAGAGGAAGGCGGAAUUCUCGGUGUAGAGGUGAAAUUCGUAGAUAUCGAGAGGAACACCGGUGGUGAAGGCGGCAUCCUGGACCGGCAUUGACGCUGAGGCGCGAAAGCCAGGGGAGCAAACGGG
rnacentral:rRNA from 1 species